UAGGGAAUCUUCGGCAAUGGGGGCAACCCUGACCGAGCAACGCCGCGUGAGUGAAGAAGGUUUUCGGAUCGUAAAGCUCUGUUGUAAGUCAAGAACGAGUGUGAGAGUGGAAAGUUCACACUGUGACGGUAGCUUACCAGAAAGGGACGGCUAACUACGUGCCAGCAGCCGCGGUAAUACGUAGGUCCCGAGCGUUGUCCGGAUUUAUUGGGCGUAAAGCGAGCGCAGGCGGUUUGAUAAGUCUGAAGUUAAAGGCUGUGGCUCAACCAUAGUUCGCUUUGGAAACUGUCAAACUUGAGUGCGGAAGGGGAGAGUGGAAUUCCAUGUGUAGCGGUGAAAUGCGUAGAUAUAUGGAGGAACACCGGUGGCGAAAGCGGCUCUCUGGUCUGUAACUGACGCUGAGGCUCGAAAGCGUGGGGAGCGAACAGGAUUAGAUACCCUGGUAGUCCACGCCGUAAACGAUGAGUGCUAGGUGUUGGAUCCUUUCCGGGAUUCAGUGCCGCAGCUAACGCAUUAAGCACUCCGCCUGGGGAGUACGACCGCAAGGUUG
rnacentral:rRNA from 1 species